UACAGAGGGUGCGAGCGUUAAUCGGAAUUAUUGGGCGUAAAGGGCGCGUAGGCGGUUUGACAAGUCUGAUGUGAAAUCUAUGGGCUCAACCCAUAGCCUGCAUUAGAAACUGUCGGGCUUGAGUAUGGGAGAGGUGAGUGGAAUUUCCGGUGUAGCGGUGAAAUGCGUAGAUAUCGGAAGGAACACCUGUGGCGAAAGCGGCUCACUGGACCAUAACUGACGCUGAGGCGCGAAAGCUAGGGGAGCAAACAGG
rnacentral:rRNA from 1 species